ensembl:lncRNA novel transcript
AUAUAUCUUCUGAUUCAACCAAGUGAAAAUGUGGCUUCAGAGGAGGUGACAAAGUGUGACCAUACCCAAAGCCAAGUUCUGCAACUUGACUCUGAGAGCCUGCUGUCUCCACUGAAUUUGAUUAUGUGCUAUCAGGAGAAUCCAUCUACUGCCUGCAGCUGUCGAGCUCCUCUCCUGGACAUCCUAAACUCAAAUGGCAGGGAAAAAAAAACACUGCCAUCUAUUCUGACCUCUGAAGUCACCAUGCCCAUUAACUGAGGAUGAAGAAGACAGAAGGAAUACUGAAUGUCUGAAGAGAGAGAAAACGUUAUAAAAUUAUCCUUUCAAAAGAUGGAAGAAUAAAUUCACUUGGCAAAUGUGAUAUGGACUCACCUGAGGUUUGAAGUCAUCCAAAAAGAAACCAAAAAUCAUGGUUUUGAGAUUUUGUCCAAAUUCCUUCAUUAUCUCAGCACUGCACUAGGAUACUAAUGAGUUUUCGGGAACAGAAAACCCAAUGGAAUAUUAAAAUUGGAAAGAAGAGCUCCUUGAGUUAAUUUCACUGAAGUGCAUCACAACACACUGCACUGUUGUAAGAAUGAAUAUUCAAAUAGGAAUCCAGUCAUGGGAAAAUUAAUUAAGGAAAAUGUUAUUGCUAAUAUUUCUUUUUAUGAAUAUACAUAUGCGGAGACACACAACCAUCUAUUGGCUCCACACUGACAAUAAUAAAAGCCAAACAUUUAUGAGAGUCAAAUGUUCAAGAUCUCUUGCUGAGUUGGUGUUAAAAGAUUUUAAAUAAAAAAAUUAUGAUUCCAGA